rnacentral:rRNA from 1 species
GACGAACGCUGGCGGCGUGCCUAAUACAUGCAAGUUGGGCGCUGAAGGUUGGUACUUGUACCGACUGGAUGAGCAGCGAACGGGUGAGUAACGCGUGGGGAAUCUGCCUUUGAGCGGGGGACAACAUUUGGAAACGAAUGCUAAUACCGCAUAAAAACUUUAAACACAAGUUUUAAGUUUGAAAGAUGCAAUUGCAUCACUCAAAGAUGAUCCCGCGUUGUAUUAGCUAGUUGGUGAGGUAAAGGCUCACCAAGGCGAUGAUACAUAGCCGACCUGAGAGGGUGAUCGGCCACAUUGGGACCGAGACACGGCCCAAACUCCUACGGGAGGCAGCAGUAGGGAAUCUUCGGCAAUGGACGAAAGUCUGACCGAGCAACGCCGCGUGAGUGAAGAAGGUUUUCGGAUCGUAAAACUCUGUUGGUAGAGAAGAACGUUGGUGAGAGUGGAAAGCUCAUCAAGUGACGGUAACUACCCAGAAAGGGACGGCUAACUACGUG